UACAGAGGGGGCAAGCGUUGUUCGGAAUUACUGGGCGUAAAGGGCGCGUAGGCGGCCUUCUAAGUCGAACGUGAAAUCCCCGGGGCUCAACCCGGGAACUGCGUCCGGGACUGGAAGGCUUGAAUCCGGGAGAGGGAUGUGGAAUUCCAGGUGUAGCGGUGAAAUGCGUAGAUAUCAGGAGGAACACCGGUGGCGAAGGCGGGUCUCUGGGCCGAUAUUGACGCUGAGGAGCGAAAGCGUGGGGAGCGAACAGG
rnacentral:rRNA from 1 species